rnacentral:sRNA from 1 species
CACAGGAAGUAUAACAAACUAAAGGAUAGAACUACUCACAACCUAACAAUCAGAAAGAACAAACCAGGGCGUUUUGUUCAUAACUAGUGUGAGCCAAAUAAUCAAUCAAACAAAGUCGGCAGAGUGAACAGACAAUUAAAGUCAAUAUGGUGGACUGCAAAUGGACCGAUCAUACGUUUCAAAUGUGGCUGAGGCUGUGGCUGGGGCUGGGCUGGGACUGGAGGUGGGGCUGUGGCUGGGCUGGGUUGGGACAGGGGCUGGGGCUGUGGCUGGGCUGUGGCUGACCUGGGGCUGGGACUGGGGCUGUUUAAGACACGAAGGUUUCAGGACUUUAGUAUUAUGUUGACCGUCUAAGGAUGUGAUCUAUGUUAUCUGUCUUAACCUACUUAUCCG